GCUUGUCUCAAAGAUUAAGCCAUGCAUGUCUAAGUAUAAACAAAUCUAUACUGUGAAACUGCGAAUGGCUCAUUAUAUCAGUUAUAGUUUAUUUGAUGGUCCUUGCUACUUGGAUAACCGUAGUAAUUCUAGAGCUAAUACAUGCAUCAGACCCCGACUGUUUGGAAGGGGUGUAUUUAUUAGAUGGAAACCAAUGCAGGGCAACCUGGAAUAUGGUGAUUCAUAAUAACUCGCGGAUCGGUUUACCGAUGCAUCAUUCAAGUUUCUGCCCUAUCAGCUUUGGAUGGUAGGGUAUUGGCCUACCAUGGCUUUAACGGGUAACGGAGAAUUAGGGUUCGAUUCCGGAGAGGGAGCCUGAGAAAUGGCUACCACAUCCAAGGAAGGCAGCAGG
rnacentral:rRNA from 1 species